rnacentral:rRNA from 1 species
GAUGAACGCUGGCGGCGUGCCUAAUACAUGCAAGUCGAGCGAACAGACGAGGAGCUUGCUCCUUUGACGUUAGCGGCGGACGGGUGAGUAACACGUGGGUAACCUACCUAUAAGACUGGGAUAACUUCGGGAAACCGGAGCUAAUACCGGAUAUUAUUUCGAACCGCAUGGUUCGAUAGUGAAAGAUGGCUUUGCUAUCACUUAUAGAUGGACCUGCGCCGUAUUAGCUAGUUGGUAAGGUAACGGCUUACCAAGGCAACGAUACGUAGCCGACCUGAGAGGGUGAUCGGCCACACUGGAACUGAGACACGGUCCAGACUCCUACGGGAGGCAGCAGUAGGGAAUCUUCCGCAAUGGGCGAAAGCCUGACGGAGCAACGCCGCGUGAGUGAUGAAGGUCUUCGGAUCGUAAAACUCUGUUAUUAGGGAAGAACAAACGUGUAAGUAACUGUGCACGUCUUGACGGUACCUAAUCAGAAAGCCACGGCUAACUACGUG